rnacentral:rRNA from 1 species
GACGUAGGGCGCGAGCGUUGUCCGGAUUUAUUGGGCGUAAAGAGCUCGUAGGCGGCUUGUCGCGUCGACUGUGAAAUCCCGAGGCUCAACUUCGGGCUUGCAGUCGAUACGGGCAGGCUAGAGUUCGGUAGGGGAGACUGGAAUUCCUGGUGUAGCGGUGAAAUGCGCAGAUAUCAGGAGGAACACCGAUGGCGAAGGCAGGUCUCUGGGCCGAUACUGACGCUGAGGAGCAAAAGCGUGGGGAGCGAACAGG